rnacentral:tRNA from 2 species
GCGGGAGUAGUUCAAUGGUAGAACGUCAGCCUUCCAAGCUGAACACGCGGGUUCGAUUCCCGCUUCCCGCUCCA